rnacentral:rRNA from 1 species
GACGAACGCUGGCGGCGUGCCUAACACAUGCAAGUCGAGCGAGUGAAUCUCCUUCGGGAGUGAAACUAGCGGCGGACGGGUGAGUAAUGCUUAGGAAUCUGCCUAUUAGUGGGGGACAACAUCUCGAAAGGGAUGCUAAUACCGCAUACGUCCUACGGGAGAAAGCAGGGGAUCACUUGUGACCUUGCGCUAAUAGAUGAGCCUAAGUCGGAUUAGCUAGUUGGUGGGGUAAAGGCCUACCAAGGCGACGAUCUGUAGCGGGUCUGAGAGGAGGAUCCGCCACACUGGGACUGAGACACGGGCCAGAUUCCUACGGGAGGUAGCAGUGGGGAAUAUUGGACAAUGGGGGGAACCCUGAUCCAGCCAUGCCGCGUGUGUGAAGAAGGCCUUAUGGUUGUAAAGCACUUUAAGCGAGGAGGAGGCUCUUUUGGUUAAUACCCAAGAUGAGUGGACGUUACUCGCAGAAUAAGCACCGGCUAACUCUGUGCCAGCCGCCGCCGUAA